AAAUGGUUAUUUAUCGUUUUCAUCAUUUAAAAAGAAAUUAAAAUAUCAGCAUGAGAUAGAACGCGUUAUGAACACGCAACGAAAUAAGUGUAUUGUACAUCUUGAUGGGUCGAGGCACAUCGAGCUUAUUUAAAUUUUGUUUUGCUAUAUUUUGUUUUCUAUACAUGUAUAAUAUUGUUUGUAAUGUAUUACAUGCAUUUUGCAUUUGAUUAUCGUCGGUGGGCAUCUCAGACUUGAUGAAAUGCGACUGAAGCAAGCUCCGAUCCACGUGGGUUUAUAUGCGGAUGGUGCGGACGCCAGAGGAAGCCGACAUGCGCAGACACGAGCGUAACUUAUCCGUAUCGUCCGUAAGUCAUCCGUAUCGUCCGUAAGUCAUCCGUAUCGUCCGUAAGUCAUCCGUAAAAUCCGUAAGUCAUCCGUAAGUCGUCAGUAACAUGUGUCAGCGGGUUGGCAGCGGAUGGGUUCAUCCGCAGGUUUUACCCGUAACAUCCGUAAUUCAUACGUAACAUCCGUAACUAAUCCGUAUCAACCGCAGAAUAUAGGUAACUUUUGCUCAAAUUUCCGUAUUGGGGUUAAAAAUUACGCAUUUUCAUUAUCCAAAUAUACGCAGGCAUCCGCAGGUCCGUAACAUGGCCGUGUGACUGUAGCAUUAAGAA